rnacentral:rRNA from 1 species
GAUGAACGCUGCCAGAAUGCUUAACACAUCAGCCAUUGAUUGGUGGCGGACGGGUGAGUAACGCGUAAAGAAUUUACCUCACCGUUUGGGACAACAUUUGGAAACGAAUGCUAAUACCUAAUACUGUGAGAGAGGUUUGCGUCCCAUUAGCUAGUUGGAGUGGUAACGGCGCACCAAGGCGAUGAUGGGUAGCCGGCCUGGGAGGGUGAUCGGCCACAAGGGGAAUGGGAGACGGCCCUUACGCCUACGGGAGGCGGCAGUGGAGAAUAAUGAACAAUGGGCCAAAAUCUAAUCCAGCAAUUGGGUGUGCACGAUGAAGUUUUCGGAAUGUAAAGUGCUGUCAGAUGAGAAGCGGUACCAGCAGAAGAAGUGACGGCUAACUACGUGCCAGCAGCCGCGGUAAUAC